GCCUGUUGUGUCCGAUAACGCCCCGAAAACCCUAGGUCAGCCAUCUCUCCUCCUCCAGUUCCGUCGCCGCCUCGCCCCCAUCUCCUCCACCUCCACCCACGGCGCCCCCAUCUCCUCCUCCACCUCCGUCCGCCGACGCACCCCCGUCUCCUCCACCUUCGUCCACCGCGCCCGGGAGACAAGCCGACAACGGAUCUGACCGCCCCCAUCCCUGUCCUUCCCCCAAGCAGCAACACCUGUGGAUCUGACCGGAGGUGGUGGCUGCACCACCACCACCACCACCACCCCCCCCCCCGACGGCGGCUGCACCCCCCUGCAGCUCCUCGACGGAGCCGGCGGCAGUGGCGGCGUAUAUUGCUCCCCUGCGUGGGGGUGGUUUCUUCCUGCACGCGGCGGCGGUUCCCAGGCAACGGGACUACUCCUAUGCAGCGGCGUCGAUGGCUACAUCUGCACGCUGGAAUUUGGAAUGUACCAGAGGAUAGCAUCUUUCCAUGAGCUGGAACUUAUAAACAUGAAAGGUGAAAACUUUUUAAUCCAGGUUUGUAGGUUCUAUGGAAAUAUUGUUCGAAGCAAUCAUUCUGAAUGUGUUUGUGAACACGUCGUCUUUCUGAUAGUUUGAUAUUGUAUUGCAGGUCUUGCUAGUGUGGAGGAAACCUGAACCUGGACCUUCGAUUUUUUCUGGUGCUGCAAGUUUUUUCAGGUGUUUGUUGAACCAAAACUGCAAGUGUUUUCAGUUGGUACCUUGGUUUACUACACCAUUUUUUGUUGCUUGCUGUGGAACUAUUGUUUGAUUCUUUAAGCAGAGUAUCUAAGAUUGUAUACGUUAUUUGGUUUAAUCUGAGAUGAACUAUUGUUAGAAUUCCGUUGUAUUCUGAUUGUAUCUGUUAUCUAGUUGAAUAUGAGAUGGUAUGAAAAAUUGGAUGGAAUUUGGUGGGUUCAAGUUUAAUGUGCCUG